GAAAGAGAAAAGAAAGAAAGAAAGAAAGAAAGAAAGGAAAGAAAGAAAGAAAAAGAAAGAAAGAAAAGACUUACUGGUUUGAGUCACUACCUCUGGGAUAAAUAAAUUGGCUAUAUUUGAAAAAAUUUUUAGAGAGCUCACAUCCUAAACAGCUGUAUUACUGAUACCUAUGGUUUAAUCCAACUGAAAAGAAGACAAAAUGGAUUUAAAGA